rnacentral:rRNA from 1 species
CCGGAAGGCAACACAUAGGAAAGACUAAAAGAAAAGGAAGGAACUCGGCAAACACAAGCCUCGCCUGUUUACCAAAAACAUCGCCUCCUGCAAACUUCAACGUAUAGGAGGUCUUGCCUGCCCAGUGACAAGUUAAACGGCCGCGGUAUUUUGACCGUGCGAAGGUAGCGCAAUCACUUGUCUUUUAAAUGAAGACCUGUAUGAAUGGUGGAACGAGGGCUUAACUGUCUCCCUUUUCAGGUCAAUGAAAUUGAUCUGCCCGUGCAGAAGCGGACAUACAAAUACAAGACGAGAAGACCCUUUGGAGCUUAAGACACAAGAUCAACUACGUCAAGAACCCAACACCAGGUUAAACUAAGUAGGAACUGAUCCACAUCUUCAGUUGGGGCGACCGCGGGAGAAAACAAAGCUCCCACGCGGACCGGGGUUUCAACCCUAAAACCAAGAGAGACAUCUCUAAGUCACAGAAUAUCUGACCAUAAAGAUCCGGCCAUUUGCCGAUCAACGGACCAAGUUACCCUAGGGAUAACAGCGCAAUCCUCUUCCAGAGUCCAUAUCGACAAGAGGGUUUACGACCUCGAUGUUGGAUCAGGACAUCCUAAUGGUGCAGCCGCUAUUAAGGGUUCGUUUGUUCAACGAUUAAAGUCCUACGUGAUCUGAGUUCAGACCGGAGCAAUCCAGGUCAGUUUCUAUCUGUAAUGCUACUUCUUUCUAGUACGAAAGGACCGAGAGAAGGGGGCCUAUAUUAUAAAACACGCCCCACCCUGACCUAAUGACAUCAACUAAUUA